UAGGGAAUCUUCCGCAAUGGGCGAAAGCCUGACGGAGCAACGCCGCGUGAGUGAUGAAGGUCUUCGGAUCGUAAAACUCUGUUAUUAGGGAAGAACAAAUGUGUAAGUAACUAUGCACGUCUUGACGGUACCUAAUCAGAAAGCCACGGCUAACUACGUGCCAGCAGCCGCGGUAAUACGUAGGUGGCAAGCGUUAUCCGGAAUUAUUGGGCGUAAAGCGCGCGUAGGCGGUUUUUUAAGUCUGAUGUGAAAGCCUACGGCUCAACCGUGGAGGGUCAUUGGAAACUGGAAAACUUGAGUGCAGAAGAGGAAAGUGGAAUUCCAUGUGUAGCGGUGAAAUGCGCAGAGAUAUGGAGGAACACCAGUGGCGAGGGCGACUUUCUGGUCUGUAACUGACGCUGAUGUGCGAAAGCGUGGGGAUCAAACAGG
rnacentral:rRNA from 1 species